CCAGGCACAGCCACAUCUGUCAGCACUCAGAGCCCGGUGGCGAGGUGGAGCGAGCAGAGGGCCCGGUAUGCAGCAGGGCCGGCCCAGGAGACGGUGGAAGCUGCUCAGCUCGCUGCGGCCGCCUUGUUUAUUCGCCCUGACCUCGCAUUCUCUCCGAGGCCACACGACCUGCCGCUGUGAAAGGAGCCAUUGUCCUGCAAGAGAAGUCUGUUACAACAUUUUAACAGAGCAUGCAGCACGUGUGCAGGGACGGCACAUGCAAUGACAUCAGUGCAUUACAGCGCACUGCCAGAAGAAUCCACGAACAACAUCCUCUGGAGUCAAGCAUUGUCAUGGAAAAAGUAGACGGGCCCGAGGCGUCCCGCUGGCUCACCUGGGGAAUGAGCAUACCACGUGUGACGUCACUCCUGAACAAAAAGGAAAUCUUAGAAAAGCAGGAGGAAAGUGGGCUGUAUGGGUCCAUGUCAGGAAACAGAUCCCAGGGAGGAAUCGAGCUGCUCUGUAGAGGACUCAGCUUGUGUUCUGGAGUUCCGGCAAAACGGGUGUCGGGGUGCAGUGGAAUGCCGUCACGCUCCUACCGAGUGUGAUACAAAUGCUUGAUCCUUGCACACCGCCGCACACAAGCGCCCGCGUCGCAUUAUACGGCAUCAGCCCGGCUCAAAGUGGAUCAUUAUUUACUAAACAGGUUGCCUAACAAGAAAAGACUGAUUCCCCUGCAGGCUUGUAUGAAAAACCCCUGGAAGCAUGGCGCCGGAGCAAUAUCCAUCAUAAUUGAUGUGUUGCAAAGCAGAUUACACACAUUAGCACACACUGUUCUAGCUAUGACAGCGCCGACUGAACAUGACAAAUUCCAUAAUGUGGGGGAAAAAAAGGUAGUUGGGUGUCUCGGGGUAUUAAAAGACGCGGCAACCAACAAAGAGGCAUUAGCAUUUAAGGAGGAGAGUGUGUUUGCGUGUGCAUCCGCUGACUAACUACACGUCCUCCGCGCUUUCAUUUGGCCUUAAUUACAUUCUGUUUGUUCCACUCGAGGCGGAGGGUCCCGUAAAGUGUUGGGAGCUGUUCCCGGUGCGGCAUCAUCCUGCUCUGUGACACGGCUCCAUUGAGCCCCAGCUUAUCCCAGCGCAGCGUUCGCUACAAGGGAUGAUGCGUUCGAGGCCACCGUCGGCCGCGGCGGCAUUAUUUACCAGCACAGAACAACAGAUAAGCCCUUUGAAAUAGCAGCAGCCGGUUCGUUGUGGGCGUGUGUGUGUGUGUGGGGGGGGGCUGUCUAAUCAGCGGGCUGGGAUGCCGGGGAAAUGAAUACGCUUUGGGGAAGAGGGGCGGCUGCACUUGCUCACUCGCUUCCUCCUCUCUCGCUCCCUCGCUUGCUCACUCUCUCAGUCACUCUCCUCUCACUCUUCUAAUCAACUCAACAGCAUUACGGUAAAUCUGCUCAUGGAAUUCCUGCUGGCUGCCUGCUUUUCUACACGCGCACAAAUUACGUUCUUAAAGGUUGUAAAUAAUGCGGAGCUGAUUUGCACUUGACAUUUUCUUCAUAUUAUUUUUAUUAUCAUAAUUAUUAUUAUUAUUAUUAUUAUUAUUAUUAUUAUUAUUAUUAUUAUUAUUAUUAUUAUUAUUAUUAUUAUUAUUAUUGCUGAUUUGUUUUUUAUAUUCAAUUUAAAAAUAAUAGUAACAGUAAUAGUACAGAGUAUUUUAGCAGAUCCUUUUAUUAAACAACACUUAAUAGAGGGUUUUAAAGUCACACUUUCUUAAAUGUUAUAUUAAAUAUUAUAUAUUAGUAGUCAUGAUAUUUUUAUUAUUGUUGUUUUCUGCAUUUAUGUUUUGGUACACUUUUAUUUUUAGUAAAUCUAAUACAUUAAGACAUUUAAUGUAAAUGAUUUUUCUUCCUUAGAGCUGCUCUCUAUGUAUGUGUGACCAAGCCACACACCCACUCCUGACGACCCACUAAUUAACACCCCAUGUUAAUCACUCUCGACCCAGCCAAUACCCAGCGACAUGCCAUCAUGCAGAUCACUACAUCAUGCCACAGCACAGCAGUGCAUCAAAGGCGGGCGAUACUUUCCCUUUCUCCUCCGUGUUGUGUUGUGGAGACAUCUCGGUGAGAAUUUUGACUUAUCUCGCAGUGUGAACGUGAACUGUUGGAGCUGUUUCCUGAGCGGAGCUUGCUGUUUAGCAGGACUGUCAUUCACAAAGUGAUACUGAAGUGAUAUAAAUACUGGAAUGGUGACAAAGAAACAUUUCACCACCGUCUCCCUCUCCUCAAGCGAACCAUCUGUGGCUUUAAAUCCGUCUUGUGUUUCUCCCAGGACUAUAAUUUCUAAUAUCGUCUUUAUUUUUGUCACCAUACAGAGCGCUGCAUGUAUUAGAUCUAAUCCAUUAGCCUGAUCCUACUUUACAUACACUGCUGUAAGUAUGUGUUUGAUAAAUAUCUUUCCAGUGGGUCUGCGGUGCUGGCUGAAAUAAUGAUUUUGAUAUAAGUUAAGCUGAUUUGCCUAAGCUACCGAGUAAUUAAGUGAACUUAAUAAUUUCAUUUCAAUUCAUUUCCAUUACCUGAAUUACUUUUACAGACUCUCCUAUCUUUUGUAAAUGUCUGUGUCUGCUUUAAGUUCACUGUUGUCUGGUAAUGAGAGGCAGGCCUCUGAACUCUGUUACAACACUGACCUCUAGUGUCAGCUCUGGCUGCCCUGCCGCUUUAAAUGUGACAUUCUGCCGGGCUCAUUGGUAGUCCUAUCUAAGUUAAUGAAUCCGCUUUGGACAAACUGCCUGGUUUGAAGCUUUAGCCUCAAACGCCUGGAGCGGGGAUUGCCCAGGAUAGGGCAGAGGUAGAUUAGGAGUCAGUGUAAUGAGAGGCAAAGCAUCUCUUUAGCUCCCCCUUUGUCUUUGCCUCCAUUCAACAAGCCUUGGAGGAGAGCGGGAGAGAUACUUCUCUGGCCACUGGCAGCCACACAGGCAUUGGCUUUAUUUUUCAUCAUCCUCUCCUCCCUGUCAGCUUCUUCUUCCUUCCCCAUCUCUAUUUUUUCCCCUCCUUCUCUCCAGUGGAUGCAGACAUGCCAACAUGGCCUCACGUCCGCGUCAGGACAUUGUCAGAUCUUCUACAUCAUGAUAAAAAAAAACGCAGACACUUGCCCACCACACUGGUGUGCAGUGCAUGGCUAAUAGGUAUAAUGUGCACCCGGCCUGCAUUUAAUAAACAAUUACCAAUCUAUAAUAGAUGAGUCUGG
rnacentral:lncRNA from 1 species